rnacentral:rRNA from 1 species
UCCUUGUCGGGUAAGUUCCGACCUGCACGAAUGGCAUAAUGAUGGCAGCGCUGUCUCCAGCAGAGACUCAGUGAAAUCGAAAUCGCAGUGAAGAUGCUGUGUACCCGCGGCUAGACGGAAAGACCCCGUGAACCUUUACUACAGCUUUACAUUGAACUUUGACCUAACUUGUGUAGGAUAGGUGGGAGGCUUUGAAGCAGAUACGCCAGUAUUUGUGGAGCCAACCUUGAAAUACCACCCUGGUUAUGUUGGGGUUCUAACUUAGGAUCAACAAAUCCAAGGACAAUGUAUGGUGGGUAGUUUGACUGGGGCGGUCUCCUCCUAAAGAGUAACGGAGGAGUACGAAGGUGCGCUCAGAACGGUCGGAAAUCGUUCAAAGAGUAUAAAGGCAAAAGCGCGCUUAACUGCGAGACCCACAAGUCGAGCAGGUACGAAAGUAGGUCUUAGUGAUCCGGUGGUUCUGUAUGGAAGGGCCAUCGCUCAACGGAUAAAAGGUACUCUGGGGAUAACAGGCUGAUACCGCCCAAGAGUUCAUAUCGACGGCGGUGUUUGGCACCUCGAUGUCGGCUCAUCUCAUCCUGGGGCUGAAGCAGGUCCCAAGGGUAUGGCUGUUCGCCAUUUAAAGAGGUACGCGAGCUGGGUUUAGAACGUCGUGAGACAGUUCGGUCCCUAUCUACCGUGGGCGUUGGAAAUUUGAGAGGAUCUGCUCCUAGUACGAGAGGACCAGAGUGGACGAACCUCUGGUGUUUCGGUUGUCACGCCAGUGGCAUUGCCGAGUAGCUAUGUUCGGAUGGGAUAACCGCUGAAAGCAUCUAAGCGGGAAGCCCACCUUAAGAUAAGAUUUCCCUAAAGAGCCGUUGUAGACGACGACGUUGAUAGGUUGGGUGUGGAAGUGUAGUGAUACAUGUAGCUAACCAAUACUAAUUGCUCGUUUGGCUUGACCAUACAACACCCAAGUGGUUUACCACUGACUGUGUUGAUUGGUAAUAUGUAAGAUGAACCUUAAUCUUGAUUUGGUAAUAAACAGACUCAUACAGCGUUGUUAAUCCUUUUACGCUGACGACAAUAGCAAGAUGGAACCACCUGAUCCCUUCCCGAACUCAGAAGUGAAACGUCUUAGCGCCGAUGGUAGUGUGGUUCGCCCAUGUGAGAGUAGGUCAUCGUCAGCACCUUAUUUUAAACCCCUCUUUGCAGAAGCAAAGGGGGGUUUUGUUUGGGGGUUGGUGAUCAGAAUCUAUAUAGCAACCUAAAUAACAACCAAUAGAUAGACUGACCUUAUAGCACUUAAUUAAAUCCACUAUUUUGUUAUCUGUUUUUGGCCAAUCGUGAUGGUGCAUUUACAUAAAUCUGACAUGGGUAUUCUUUGUGUUUAUUUUUAUUAUAAUUUAGGCUCUGUUAUCUCAAAUAAUACUUUAAAAAAUAAAAUCAGUUUUUUAUUACCAUGAGUUGUGUUAUAUUUAAUAAGUUAUGAUAAAUAGUUAAUGUAAUAAAGUGAUUUUAG